GAUGAACGCUGGCGGCGUGCCUAAUACAUGCAAGUCGAGCGAACAGAUGAGGAGCUUGCUCCUCUGACGUUAGCGGCGGACGGGUGAGUAACGCGUGGAUAACCUACCUAUAAGACUGGGAUAACUUCGGGAAACCGGAGCUAAUACCGGAUAAUAUAUUGAACCGCAUGGUUCAAUAGUGAAAGACGGUUUUGCUGUCACUUAUAGAUGGAUCCGCGCCGCAUUAGCUAGUUGGUAAGGUAACGGCUUACCAAGGCAACGAUGCGUAGCCGACCUGAGAGGGUGAUCGGCCACACUGGAACUGAGACACGGUCCAGACUCCUACGGGAGGCAGCAGUAGGGAAUCUUCCGCAAUGGGCGAAAGCCUGACGGAGCAACGCCGCGUGAGUGAUGAAGGUCUUCGGAUCGUAAAACUCUGUUAUUAGGGAAGAACAAAUGUGUAAGUAACUAUGCACGUCUUGACGGUACCUAAUCAGAAAGCCACGGCUAACUACGUG
rnacentral:rRNA from 1 species